rnacentral:rRNA from 1 species
AUUGAACGCUGGCGGCAGGCUUAACACAUGCAAGUCGAGCGAGCGGCGGACGGGUGAGUAAUGUCUGGGAAACUGCCUGAUGGAGGGGGAUAACUACUGGAAACUGUAGCUAAUACCGCGUACCAUAGGAUGAGCCCAAGUGGGAUUAGGUAGUUGGUGAGGUAAAGGCUCACCAAGCCGACGAUCUCUAGCUGGUCUGAGAGGAUGACCAGCCACACUGGGACUGAGACACGGCCCAGACUCCUACGGGAGGCAGCAGUGGGGAAUAUUGCACAAUGGGCGCAAGCCUGAUGCAGCCAUGCCGCGUGUAUGAAGAAGGCCUUAGGGUUGUAAAGUACUUUCAGCGGGGAGGCGUUACCCGCAGAAGAAGCACCGGCUAACUCCGUGCCAGCAGCCGCGGUAAUUC